rnacentral:rRNA from 1 species
UACGGAGGGUGCAAGCGUUGUCCGGAUUUAUUGGGUUUAAAGGGUGCGUAGGCGGCCAUUUAAGUCUGGGGUGAAAGCCCGUUGCUCAACAACGGAACUGCCCUGGAAACUGGAUGGCUUGAGUACAGACGAGGGUGGCGGAAUGGAUGCUGUAGCGGUGAAAUGCAUAGAUAGCAUCCAGAACCCCCGAUUGCGAAGCAGA